rnacentral:tRNA from 1 species
GCCGGCAUAGCUCAGUCGGUUAGAGCGCGGGUCUAAUAAGCCCAGAGUCCCAGGUUCGACCCCUUCUGGCGGCA